CAUACCUAAACGUUGCUUCGGCGGGAACAGACGGCCCCGUGAAACGGGCCGCCCCCGCCAGAGGACCCCUAACUCUGUUUCUAUAAUGUUUCUUCUGAGUAAAACAAGCAAAUAAAUUAAAACUUUCAACAACGGAUCUCUUGGCUCUGGCAUCGAUGAAGAACGCAGCGAAAUGCGAUAAGUAAUGUGAAUUGCAGAAUUCAGUGAAUCAUCGAAUCUUUGAACGCACAUUGCGCCCGCCAGUAUUCUGGCGGGCAUGCCUGUUCGAGCGUCAUUACAACCCUCAGGCCCCCGGGCCUGGCGUUGGGGAUCGGCGGAGCCCCCCGUGGGCACACGCCGUCCCCCAAAUACAGUGGCGGUCCCGCCGCAGCUUCCAUCGCGUAGUAGCUAACACCUCGCGACUGGAGAGCGGCGCGGCCACGCCGUAAAACACCCAACUCUUCUGAAGUUGACCUCGAAUCAGGUAGGAAUACCCGCUGAACUUAAG
rnacentral:rRNA from 1 species